UAUUAAAUUGAUAACAAUUGGUAAUUCGAAUACGUAAUCCUUAUGCAUCAGUGGUUUAGAAUUUUAAUCUUCACAACUUUACUUUUACAGUUUUACUAAAAAUCUACAAUUCUUUAGUACCUAGUUAAGUUCUUAAUUCUGUAUCCAUGCUUACUGCUUAGUGGUGUAGCCUUAGUAACCUAGUACAGUGAAUCAGAUCACAUUUUUUUUAAAUUUAAAUUGUAAACUGUUUAAAUAUAUUUGAAAGUCUUGUUUUUUAAUUACUUGUAUUUGUUUAAUAUACCUAUUUCUAAUUUUUGUUUUUAAAAACCCCAUUUAGAGUAAAUUGUAUAAUGAUAAGCAACUUAAAUUUAAACAAAAUAACCUAUAUCUAUGAAUUGCCAUAUGCAGAACGUAAGGAAUUCUGCAGUAUAAUGGACAUGAAUGAUAAAUGGGAAGAACUAGGUGGAUAUUAUAUGAAAAUUGACACUGCAACAAUUUUUAAACUUAGUAAAGCUCCCAUGCGUAAUCAUUCUUCCACUGAUGAACUUUUAACAUUAUGGGGAGAACAAAAUCAUACAAUAUUAGAAUUAUUUAGUAUUUUGAAUACAAUGCAGCAUUAUCGAGCAAUGAUUAUACUUAAACCAUUCGUUGAUCAUAAGUAUCAUAAAUUAAUAAAUCAGGGUGCUAAAAGCUUCGGUUACUUGGUAAAGUCCGAAACAGACGACAGUUUAAAUAAUGAAGUUGACAAUGUUAUAAAACUGAACACUGAUAACAACGAAAGAAGAGGUAAUAAUAUAGAACGUGAAGAUUUAAAUACAUUAGGCAAAAUAAAUGAGCAUCCAUCUAUUAUGUUUUCCUCUGCUGAAGCAUGUACCCCUUUGAUAACAUACAAUGAACUAGAACAAGCUACCAAUUACUGGAAUAAGGAAAAUAUUUUGGGAAAAGGAGGUUUUGGAGUGGUUUUUAAAGGUAUAUGGAGAAGCACCACUGUUGCUAUUAAACGUCUUGAAGCUCAGAAAGGAGCAGAACAACAAUUUAAUAUUUUAGAAGCUCAAAGACAACAAUCAUUAAGAGAACUGAAGUAUUUAAAUUCUUGCAGACAUGAUAAUAUUUUAUCCCUAUAUGGAUUUAGUAUUGGUGGUGAAAAACCAUGUUUAGUGUAUCAAUAUAUGAUCAACGGUUCUCUUGAAGAUCGAUUACAAUGUCGACAAGGAACUGAACCUUUGACGUGGAACUUUCGUUUUAAAAUUGCAACAGGAUCAGCUAGAGGAUUGCAAUUUUUACAUGGAAUGGAUAAACCUUUAAUCCAUGGAGAUAUUAAAAGUGCAAAUAUUCUUUUGGAUCAAAAUUUUGAACCUCGUAUUGGUGAUUUUGGAUUGGCUCGCGAAGGGCCUCUUCAAGAAUAUACUCAUGUAAAAGUUAGUCAUGUUCACGGAACAAGGCCUUAUCUACCAGAUGAAUUUUUAAGAGGCAAAAAGUUCUCCACUAAAGUUGAUACUUAUAGUUUUGGUGUGGUGCUUUUUGAAAUUGCUACUGGACAAAGAGCAUAUGACAAUUUAAGAAAUCAUAAAUUUUUAAAAGACCAUGUAGAAAAUAAUGAUUGUCCAAUUUCUGAUAUGGCAGAUGUGAAGGCAGGACCAGAUGAAAAUAAUCUAUAUGCUUCUCUCAUGACUAUUGGUAAAAAUUGUGUUAGUUAUAAAGCAAAAGAUCGUCCAGAAAUGGAACAAGUAUUAAGGAAAUUAGAUUGUGUCAUGUUACAAGAAAAACAAUCUACUAUCAGACACAGUUGUUUACCUACAUUUCAAAACGAGAUGCCAAUAAGAAAACUUUCAAUUCUAUCUGAACCUUACCAUUCUCAGCAAUGGCAAAAUGUACCUUGCAACCGGAGUCCAAUUUGGUAAUUACCGAGUUCUUUUCUACUAUAACCUUAAUUGGUUGGAGUAACCCCGUCCUCCAAUUAGCGGGUUGUCGUAAGGCCAAUCGUCUUACACGGAAAACAAUCUGAUUAAGAAACAACAACAAAAAUUGCCUCAGAAUGGAAGUUUACGGAUUUAUGCAUUGGAAUUUGGAACGUGCGAUCAAUGUAUAGGACUGCAACUUUGACGAAAGUCAUAUUGUGUAUGAGCGAUACAGAUUGGAUAUAAUUCAAGAAGUAAGGUGGAACGGAUCUGGUAGUAUCAAGUCCACUGAUCGCUCUUCUAACUCAAAGUCCUGUACCGAGUAUUGAGUUGUUAAAACAAAUUACACCAGGUCCAGCUAUACCUCAAAUAAUAAAGAACAAUUGUCUUAAAGUAACAAGCAAUCCAGAUUCUACAAGAUCCACAAAUCCCUCGCCA
rnacentral:misc_RNA from 1 species